UACGUAGGGGGCAAGCGUUGUCCGGAAUCAUUGGGCGUAAAGAGCGUGUAGGCGGCCUUUUAAGUCUGCUGUGAAAGUCCAGGGCUCAACCCUGGGAUGUCAGUGGAUACUGGAAGGCUCGAGUCCGGAAGAGGCGAGUGGAAUUCCUGGUGUAGCGGUGAAAAUGCGCAGAUAUCAGGAGGAACACCAAUGGCGAAGGCAGCUCGCUGGGACGGUACUGACGCUGAGACGCGAAAGCGUGGGGAGCAAACAGG
rnacentral:rRNA from 1 species